ACAGCAGCAGCCACGGGAAUACGUAGGGUGCGAGCGUUAAUCGGAUUUACUGGGCGUAAAGCGUGCGCAGGCGGCCCGUUAAGACAGGUGUGAAAUCCCUGGGCUCAACCUAGGAAUUGCGCUUGUGACUGGCGGGCUCGAGUACGGUAGAGGGGGGUGGAAUUCCUGGUGUAGCAGUGAAAUGCGUAGAGAUCAGGAGGAACACCGAUGGCGAAGGCAGCCCCCUGGGCCUGUACUGACGCUCAUGCACGAAAGCGUGGGGAGCAAACAGGAUUAGAUACCCCUGUAGUCCCUGUCUCUUAUAC
rnacentral:rRNA from 1 species